rnacentral:lncRNA from 1 species
ACAACGGGAGUGCUUUGUAAGCCUUACAGCACUCAUCUCUGACCCUCAUCCCAGUUCACACAAGUGGGUGGGGAUCAGCCAUUUUACAGAGAAUUAUGAUGAGGCUCAGAAUAUCGGCUCACACUUCCUUCCUGUGUUGCUGAGAGCUGCCUGGAGGACACUCUGGCUGAUAUGCUUGCACUGGAGGACACUCUGGCUGAUAUGUUUGCAUUAGAGGACACUCUGGCUAAUAUACUUGCAUUGGAAGACACUCUGGCUGAUAUACUUGCAUUAGAGGACACUCUGGCUGAUAGAUACUCUUGCAUUGGAGGACAAUCUGGUUGAUACUCUUGCAUUGGAGGGUACUCUGGCUGAUAUGUUUGCAUUAGAGGAUACCCUGGCUGAUAUACUUGCAUUGGAGAAUAUUCUGGCUGAUAUGCUUGCAUUGGAGGACACUCUGGUUGAUAUAUUUGCAUUGGAGGGCACUCUGGCUCAUAUGCUUGCAUUGGAGGACAAUCUGGCUGAUACUCUUGCAUUGGAGGGUACUCUGGCUGAUAUGCUUGCAUUGGAGGACACUCUGGCUGAUAUGCUCUUGCAUUGGAGGAUACUCUUGCUGAUAUGCUUGCAUUGAAGGAUAUUCUGGCUGAUAUGCUUGGAUUCAGAUGGGUGGACUUUACAAUUAAGGCUGGAAACUUCUUGAGACCAUGCCCAUGUGUAUGUGAAUGUGUAUGUGAAGUAUGUAUGUAUGUAUAUAUGUUUGAAUGUUUGUGUAUAAAAAGACAAAGAAGGAGUAUUGAGCAUUUGAGCAUAGUCCUAAAUCUUAAAAAAAUUUAAUCCCCAGAUUGAUAUACAGAAACUUUCACAUGGAUAACAGGCAGGGCUGAGGUCUGUCAUCUCUGCGUUCAUCCCUCUGUCCAUCUGUGAAUGCAUCUUUUUAGUUCUCCCUCUCCCUCUUCCUCUCUCCCUCCCCCUCCCUCCCUCUCUUCUUGUCCCUUUGCCCCUCACUCCCCCUCUCCCCUCUGAGUAUGUGAAUGUGUGUUGAGGGUUGAACUGGGAGCAUUAUGCAGGGUAGGCAGAACUCUACCAUUGAUGCAUACCCCCAGCCCAAGACCAUCUUUUUGGGGAUACUUUGAAAGUAGGUUGAAAACACCAUAUUCUUGCCCUCAAACUAUUUUGUAGUGUUUAGUUCUAAAUAAACUUCUUCUUCUUCUUCUUCUUCUUCUUCUUCUUCUUCUUCUUCUUCUUCUUCUUCUUCUUCUUCUUUUUUUUUUUUUUUUUUUUGAGACAGGGCUUCUCUGUGUAGCCCUGGCUGUCCUGGAACUCACUCUGUAGACCAUGCUGGCCUCGAACUCAGAAAUCCACCUGCCUCUGCCUCCCAAGUGCUGGGAUUAAAGGCAUGUGCCACCACUGCCCGAAACUUCAGCAUUUCUUUUUUGAACAUUUCAUCUGGUGCAUGAUUUACAUGCAAUGCAUUGUGUAGUUCUGGAGGCACCUGAGUUUUUGAUACAUCUAGGGACCUGGGUAACUUGGUCCUAAGAUAAAAAGUAUUAUGUUACACACAACAUUUAUUAUAAUAUAACAAGGUCAGAAUGGUGAUUGAUACUUGUAAGUUAAGCACCAGGUAACGGAAGUAGGAGGAACCAGAGUUUAAAGAUGUAUGAGGCACUAUCACGCACACACACACACACACACACACACACACACACACACACACACAGAUAUGUAUGCACACACACAGAGACUUCUCCCGCAAUGAGCUAUGAUCAUUGCUUUAAUAGCCAGCAUUUGUUUUCGUUUGAUUGUUUGGGGAACAUAGUUUGUAGCCCGGGCUGCCCAGAAACUCUCUACAGACUCAUGGUUGGCCUCAAACUGUUGGCCCUAGAACUUCUGGUAAUCCUCCUGCAACUGGUAGAGUUAUAGGUGUAAGCCCCCACUUCAGUCACUCAGCCCCACUGAUAAUACCUGUUACAUAUUGUCUGUUUAAAUUCAGCCCUUCCGGUAAGUUGUGGAAGUUUUGAGGGUGGGAUAGACAUCUCGCUAGCACAGAUGACAACCCGUAGUUCUUAGGUCUCACUGGGAAAUGUGUUGUGUUGGCUAUGGGUCAGGCCUCUGCUGUCUGAGUACUGCUCUGACGUUCCCUCCCUGACAGAUGGAGGUGCUUGGGGCAGUGCUGAUGCUCAGGCAAACGCUCCUACAGCAGAGUGAGCGCACAGGUCCUCCUGUGCCUGGAUCCUUGGUCCAAGUCUCCUCACGCGGCUCAACUUUACGUCUGUGUCAGAAGAACGUCAAGACCAAUUGCCACUUCUUUUUUUUCUCAGAGUCCUCACCCAACAUAAGGCUUCCAAGAUGACAGAGAACAGGAGGUUGCGAUGACUACUGUUGAGACCAUUGUCAAGGGAAAGUCCUUUUCUUUUGAAGACCACUUGGAUGCUGACAUUUGCUGGAAGUGCCUAGAUUACUGCGAAGGCUUGGCUGGGUUUAUGGUUGACAAAACAUCUUUUGGUGACAUCAGAAGGGACCUACUGGUGUCCGCGUGGGCAGAAGAGAGUAGUACUACUGCUUUGAGAUAGCCAGUUGAAAGCCAGCACCUGCUUCGGUCCACAGGAAGGCAAACUAGCUCCCAUCACACAGGCUAAUGCUUUGUUCUUAGUUGAAAUCUAUACCAAGACUGCUGAGCAUCCUGGAUUCUCCAACUGGGCUGCCACAGGCAGAUUCUGGCUCAGCAUCUCAAUAUGGCAGAGAUCUUCUUCACUGCACAUGUACCCACUGGGAGGACUCAAACCUGGUAUUUCAGAACUCAGGAGAAAAAUUCACACUUUGCAUUUCUCACUGUCACAUGGAGGAGACUGUGACAAGGCCAGCUCUAGUGGCACAGGAUCAUAUGUACAAAUGGAUAUUCUUGAUAAACUUAUAGAAGUGAUGGCACAGACCCAAAGUUCCAAGCACUCCUCACUCUACCCUCAGAAGAUGCAAAGAUGAGUCCAUGCUCCAACUGAUCGCAUCUGGAUUCUAGAGUGUUCUUGAGUGUGUGAAGCUUCAAAGGAAGGAUGUUAAUGUGCUUCGAGGCAGAGGUCAGGAUGUACCUGAAGAAAGGCCUCAUACCAAAAGGUGGAUGUGAUAAGAGACCCAUUAACCAGUAGCAGAGGUCACGUGGCUUGUGUAAAGAGGAGACAUCUGGACCACGCAUGCCCAUUUUAUCACUGGACACCUUUGCAGAGAUUAUGGGGAUGAUCCAGUAACACUGCUUUUGGGUGAGUAGCCGAUGUCUUCACUGGGAUCAGGCAGUCUCCUCACAAAACACUCCAAGAGCUGACAGUAUCUCAUUAGUGGGUACAGUGUCAUUGCAGUGGAGUGUCCCAUUUGUGGACAGUGGAAGUCAAAGUGAUUUAUAGAGAGCAGUUGUCAAGUCAUGGCUGAGUGAGGAACCUGCAUAGGAAAACCCCUUGAGAAGCCUCUCCACAAAGCCAGCCGGUGGGUGACAGUGGCUGGCUCCUUGAUUAGAGGCCAUACAGAGUUGUUUCUGAAUCUAGACUUUGGGUCAUUGGGGGCAGGAGGUAGUUCCUUAUUCAUCGUUCUGUUUUGUUCGAGUUGAGAAACGUGUGUAAGUACACUUUAGACUCAACGAGGAACGUGGGCUUCUUUCACUUCCAGUGCCUGUAGAACCUUCGUCAGCAGCACGCUUGUGGGGAACAGGAAGAGUAGGGCUUUCUUUCUUUCAUACUUUAGCCAAUAAUGUUAGAUUUCUAGUUAUUUUAAAGAACGUCUUUUGUAUGCUUGUGAU